rnacentral:rRNA from 1 species
GACGAACGCUGGCGGCGUGCUUAACACAUGCAAGUCGAACGGAAAGGCCCUGCUUUUGUGGGGUGCUCGAGUGGCGAACGGGUGAGUAACACGUGAGUAACCUGCCCUUGACUUUGGGAUAACUUCAGGAAACUGGGGCUAAUACCGGAUAGGAGCUCCUGCUGCAUGGUGGGGGUUGGAAAGGUUCGGCGGUUGGGGAUGGACUCGCGGCUUAUCAGCUUGUUGGUGGGGUAGUGGCUUACCAAGGCUUUGACGGGUAGCCGGCCUGAGAGGGUGACCGGCCACAUUGGGACUGAGCUACGGCCCAGACUCCUACGGGAGGCAGCAGUGGGGAAUAUUGCACAAUGGGCGGAAGCCUGAUGCAGCAACGCCGCGUGCGGGAUGACGGCCUUCGGGUUGUAAACCGCUUUCGCCUGUGACGAAGCGUGAGUGACGGUAAUGGGUAAAGAAGCACCGGCUAACUACGUG